rnacentral:rRNA from 1 species
AUUGGACGCUGGCGGAAUGCUUUACACAUGCAAGUCGAACGGCAGCACGGACUUCGGCCUGGUGGCGAGUGGCGAACGGGUGAGUAAUGUAUCGGAACGUGCCCAGUCGUGGGGGAUAACGUAGUGAAAAUUACGCUAAUACCGCAUACGAUCUAUGAAUGAAAGCGGGGGAUCGCAAGACCUCGCGCGAUUGGAGCGGCCGAUAUCAGAUUAGGUAGUUGGUGGGGUAAAGGCCCACCAAGCCAACGAUCUGUAGCUGGUCUGAGAGGACGACCAGCCACACUGGAACUGAGACACGGUCCAGACUCCUACGGGAGGCAGCAGUGGGGAAUUUUGGACGAUGGGCGAAAGCCUGAUCCAGCCAUUCCGCGUGCAGGAUGAAGGCCCUCGGGUUGUAAACUGCUUUUGUACAGAACGAAAGGGUUUCUACUAAUACUAGGAGCUCAUGACGGUACUGUAAGAAUAAGCACCGGCUAACUACGUGCCAGCAGCCGCCGUAA